UACGUAGGGUCCAAGCGCUAUCCGGAUUUACUGGGCGUAAAGAGAUGCGUAGGCGGGAAUUUAAGUGAGAUGCGAAAUCCUGUGGCUCAACCAUAUGGACUGUAUCUCAUACUGGGUUCCUAGAGGACGGCAGAGGCAAGUGGAAUUUCUGGUGUAGCAGUGAAAUGCGUAGAUAUCAGAAGGAACACCAAUGGCGAAGGCAGCUUGCUGGGCCGUUCCUGACGCUGAGGCUCGAAAGCGUGGGGAGCGAACAGGAUUAGAUACCCUGUAGUCC
rnacentral:rRNA from 1 species